CCUACGGGGAGCUGCAGUGGGGAAUAUUGGACAAUGGGGGGAACCCUGAUCCAGCGACGCCGCGUGAGUGAAGAAGUAUUUCGGUAUGUACAGCUCUAUCAGCAGGGAAGAAAGAAAUGACGGUACCUGACUAAGAAGCCCCGGCUAACUACGGGCCAGCAGCCGCGGUAAUACGUAGGGGGCAAGCGUUAUCCGGAGUUACUGGGUGUAAGGGGAGCGUAGACGGCGAUGCAAGUCUGAAGUGAAAGGCGGGGGCCCAACCCCCGGACUGCUUUGGAAACUGUAUGGCUGGAGUGCAGGAGAGGUAAGUGGAAUUCCUAGUGUAGCGGUGAAAUGCGUAGAUAUUAGGAGGAACACCAGUGGCGAAUGCGGCUUACUGGACUGUAACUGACGUUGAGGCUCGAAAGCGUGGGGAGCAAACAGGAUUAGAUACCCUGGUAGUC
rnacentral:rRNA from 1 species